CCAAAGUCGGUGGUAAACUCCACCUAAGACUGAAUACGGCCACGAGACCGAUAGCGAACAAGUACCGUGAGGGAAAGUUGAAAAGCACUUUGAAGAGAGAGUUCAAGAGUACGUGAAACCGUUUGGGAGUAAACGGGUGGUACCCGAAAUUUCGAAAGGGGAGAUUCAGGUCUCGCCGGCGACGGUCGAGGGUCGCUCGUCGGAUGGCGCGCCGGCGGGCGGGGGGUGACCCCCGUCACAGGCGCGUCACCCGGUGGCCCUCGAAUGUUCGUCGUCGGUGUGACGCACUUCUCCCCGAGUAGGACGUCGCGACCCGUCGGACGCCGGCCCCAAGGGCCCGGGUGGAGUCCCGCCCGCUCUCGAGCGGAAAAGGACCCCGGGAUCCCAGGCCGGAUGUCCGACGGUAGGAAGCGAAAGUCGACGCGCCGCAAGGCGUCCGGCCCUCCGCGAGCACCCUCGGGGGUUAGGGUUCCGGACCCGGUCCGAUCCCUUUCCCACCGUGGGGCUGUCCGCGAACCGCGAGGUGUCCUCGGACGGCGUCGAAAGUUUCGAGUCCGCGACGCUACGGCUUGGAUGGUCCACCCGACCCGUCUUGANNNNGNGACCACNNGNGNGAGUUUACCUNCCCCCCGANUCGUUUGGGCUNNCCCNCC
rnacentral:rRNA from 1 species